CGCUAGCUACAGGCUUAACACAUGCAAGUCGAGGGGCAGCAUUUUAGUUUGCUUGCAAACUGAAGAUGGCGACCGGCGCACGGGUGAGUAACACGUAUCCAACCUGCCGAUAACUCCGGAAUAGCCUUUCGAAAGAAAGAUUAAUACCGGAUAGCAUACGAAUAUCGCAUGAUAUUUUUAUUAAAGAAUUUCGGUUAUCGAUGGGGAUGCGUUCCAUUAGUUUGUUGGCGGGGUAACGGCCCACCAAGACUACGAUGGAUAGGGGUUCUGAGAGGAAGGUCCCCCACAUUGGAACUGAGACACGGUCCAAACUCCUACGGGAGGCAGCAGUGAGGAAUAUUGGUCAAUGGGCGAGAGCCUGAACCAGCCAAGUAGCGUGAAGGAUGAAGGCUCUAUGGGUCGUAAACUUCUUUUAUAUGGGAAUAAAGUUUUCCACGUGUGGAAUUUUGUAUGUACCAUAUGAAUAAGGAUCGGCUAACUCCGUGCCAGCAGCCGCGGUAAUACGGAGGGUCCGAGCGUUAUCCGGAUUUAUUGGGUUUAAAGGGAGCGUAGGUGGAUUGUUAAGUCAGUUGUGAAAGUUUGCGGCUCAACCGUAAAAUUGCAGUUGAAACUGGCAGUCUUGAGUACAGUAGAGGUGGGCGGAAUUCGUGGUGUAGCGGUGAAAUGCUUAGAUAUCACGAAGAACUCCGAUUGCGAAGGCAGCUCACUAGACUGUCACUGACACUGAUGCUCGAAAGUGUGGGUAUCAAACAGGAUUAGAUACCCUGGUAGUCCACACAGUAAACGAUGAAUACUCGCUGUUUGCGAUAUACAGUAAGCGGCCAAGCGAAAACAUUAAGUAUUCCACCUGGGGAGUACGCCGGCAACGGUGAAACUCAAAGGAAUUGACGGGGGCCCGCACAAGCGGAGGAACAUGUGGUUUAAUUCGAUGAUACGCGAGGAACCUUACCCGGGCUUAAAUUGCAACAGAAUAUAUUGGAAACAGUAUAGCCGUAAGGCUGUUGUGAAGGUGCUGCAUGGUUGUCGUCAGCUCGUGCCGUGAGGUGUCGGCUUAAGUGCCAUAACGAGCGCAACCCUUAUCUUUAGUUACUAACAGGUCAUGCUGAGGACUCUAGAGAGACUGCCGUCGUAAGAUGUGAGGAAGGUGGGGAUGACGUCAAAUCAGCACGGCCCUUACGUCCGGGGCUACACACGUGUUACAAUGGGGGGUACAGAAGGCGGCUACCUGGUGACAGGAUGCUAAUCCCAAAAACCUCUCUCAGUUCGGAUCGAAGUCUGCAACCCGACUUCGUGAAGCUGGAUUCGCUAGUAAUCGCGCAUCAGCCAUGGCGCGGUGAAUACGUUCCCGGGCCUUGUACACACCGCCCGUCAAGCCAUGAAAGCCGGGGGUACCUGAAGUACGUAACCGCAAGGAGCGUCCUAGGGUAAAACUGGUAAUUGGGGCU
rnacentral:rRNA from 1 species